rnacentral:rRNA from 1 species
AUUGAACGCUGGCGGCAUGCUUUACACAUGCAAGUCGAACGGCAGCACGGGGGCAGCCCUGGUGGCGAGUGGCGAACGGGUGAGUAAUACAUCGGAACGUGCCCGGUCGUGGGGGAUAACGUAGCGAAAGUUACGCUAAUACCGCAUACGAUCUGAGGAUGAAAGCGGGGGACCUUCGGGCCUCGCGCGAUCGGAGCGGCCGAUGUCAGAUUAGGUAGUUGGUGGGGUAAAGGCCUACCAAGCCGACGAUCUGUAGCUGGUCUGAGAGGACGACCAGCCACACUGGGACGGUGACCCGGCCCAGACUCCUACGGGGGGCAGCAGUGGGGAAUUUUGGACAAUGGGCGCAAGCCUGAUCCAGCCAGUCCGCGUGCAGGACGAAGGCCUUCGGGUUGUAAACUGCUUUUGUACGGAACGAAAAGGCUCUGGCUAAUACCUGGGGCUCAUGACGGUACCGUAAGAAUAAGCACCGGCUAACUACGUG